rnacentral:rRNA from 1 species
ACGCUCGACACCUACUGGAGGCAGCAGUGAGGAAUAUUGGUCAAUGGACGCAAGUCUGAACCAGCCAUGCCGCGUGCAGGAUGACGGCUCUAUGAGUUGUAAACUGCUUUUGUACGAGGGUAAACGCAGAUACGUGUAUCUGUCUGAAAGUAUCGUACGAAUAAGGAUCGGCUAACUCCGUGCCAACAGCCGCGGUAAUCUGAGCGGGCUGGCAAGGC